GUACAGGAUGGACAAUUUCAUAUUUCAUAUACAACUUGGAGAAUGUGUUGUAAUUGUCAAUCUAUUUAUUUGAAUUUUGUGUAAAUUAUAAGAAAGCCAUAUUUAAAAGCCCAGUAGUCAAGCUGUUAUCUACGACCCUGUUUGUUCUCCAAUGAUUAUCGUCGACCUUGUUUGUUCUCCAAGUUGUAUAUGAAAUAUGAAAUUGUCCAUCCUGUACGACAUCUGUACAAUAGUGGUUUGUGUUUUAUGUUGGCUGAAGAGGGGCCAAUGCCCGAAACGCGUAAUGUAAAAGGCGUCCCAACUGAAUAAAUAGUCAAUAAGUUGCCAAGUGUUGAUAUAUGUCACCUUAGUGUGUCUGCAAAGAAUCAGCUUAAUAACAACAACACGGUUUCAUCAGAAUCAAAAA